AGAAACCUUGCGGGGGCAACCUUAGCUGGAAACCAGGUGAUUUAGCAAACUUUUUAUGAAAGGCCUAUUUCUUUUAUUGGCUCUUCUUCCAAUUCUGCAGGGAGUUCUGGAAACACUCCCUCAAGCAUUAGGAUUCUACUGUUGAAUGCCAGCCUGUUGUAGCUACUACGUAUCUUGCAUAGGAGGGGUGAAUGAAGCAGUGCAUGGAAGCAGCCACAGCGGUGUUGCACCCUGCAGCAUCAGGAGACUUGAAGGUCUCUGAAGAGCAAGCUUACCCCUACGAUACAGGUUACCUAUUCUACGUUAAAGUUGGCAACCUCUGACGUGUAAAUUGAGGAGGAACAGGGGCCGUGUUCAACUCUCCCUCAUGCAAAGAUGAGCAAAACAGUAAAGUAAAACCAGCCUACCUAUUUGUUACCGGGUGGAAGAUGGUGCAGUUGCCACAACUGAAUUGUGCAGAAGCAACUUUUACUCACCCUGAGUCACCAUUUGGAGCCAUGCAAUAUAGCCGUCUGCUCCCAGAAGUCAAAGGAACAUAGCCUCCUCUUGCAAGCACCUUGGUGCCAUCGGAACCUGAGCCUUUGCCAUGUGCCAGCCCAGCUAAGACCAUAGCAACAGGGGAAGUUAGUCUCUCUCAAGUGUCUGCAGAAGAAUUAAAGACUCACCUGGCACCAAAUAUAAAAGGAGGAGCAGGAGACGCAUCAGCAUCUUGGAAAGAGAAUAGUUAAAGAUUAUAACACCUGCAGAAUGAGAAUUUCAUAAUUCUUUUAAGGGGAAGGCAGAGAAGAAGUGUUUUACAAAUAAAAGCCCAUUUUCACA